CUGAUAUUUAUGUUGAGUAAUUACCAAGUGUCCACUGCCUUUAAGGUGAUAUCAGCUUUUAAAAAUACGGAGUAUGCAAGCUAAUGAAAAUUAUAGUUCUGCUAUAAAGAUUUAGAAAACACACAAUCACAUUUUGUUAAGUUUCCCCACAAAAAUUCACACUUUUUCAUUUCAAGGCAUCAUUUUAAACAUCUUUAUAUUGGUUUACAUAUUUGAUAAAUCUUGCCGGCAGGAAGUCCAGGCUGUGACAUCUCCCAUUUGGGGAGACAUACGCCUUUUGGGGGCAGUUAUAUUUUAAACUUUUAUGCUGUUCCGGGCAUCCUACUUUUGCUUAACUUAAAUUGUUAAUAUAUUUUUUCAAGUUAAAGUAUUGGGCGAUUCCUUCACGAGGUACUUGCCGAGGAACUUAAACAGUGACUGGUUUCUUCCUGAUGUUGUAACCCAGCCAGGAGCAACAUAUUUCUUGCAAAAUCGGAAAAAUUUUCCUUGAAAUGUAGUGUCAUAGAUAUGUAAAUACUUCAACAAAUAAUGACCAUAAAAAAGUUACUUGAUACUUUGUAGGAAACACUGCAGCUGUUUAUAGUUUUGAGAAAAGAUUAUUUUCGAAAUGAUAUGGUUUGGACAAUUGGUCAUCAGAAAGUAUGUGAAGCUGAGAAACAAUUUGAUUCAUGUACACUGUUAAAAGAGCUGGGUAAACGCCAUUUGUGAUUUGUUGGUAAAUUUUUGUUCAACUAUUGAGUAAACUUUAGGGUUGGUUAAGAUAAAAAAGUUACCAACGUUGAGUAUAGUUUAAACAACAAUUAUUGGAUAAACAUUGUCCAAUUAAUUGGUAUUGUUUAUUAGAUUUAUCCAACCACGAAUUGCUGGGUAGAAAUUGGAGAAACACUCCUGGCAGAUGGGCAUUAUGGCGUGAAUAGUGUGACGUUAACCAUUUUGUUGUGAACUUUGAUGUCGUGCGCACACACGCUCAUUACCAAGUCAUGAAAGUUAUAAUGCGACGUCGAUGAUGGCUGACCACCAAGUGUUGAGAUUAAUGGAGGAGAGUGGCGUUAGCUCCCUAACGGAUGUUUUCUGAGGUGAGAAUUGAAAAAUGUAUCUCUAAAGUUUAAAAGUACAUGUUCUUAUUAUACUUUAGAUCAAGAACGUGUGGGCCUGUCCGAAAACUCGGCUUGAGCUGUGAAUGCAUGGCCUACCGCACGUUAUCGCAGUUUCAGGGACAUCAUCGACACACAACACACACGACGCCACACGCAGAGCCAUGCCUAGCCCUUGUGUAGUAGUAGUAGUAGCCUAUAUAACGUCCAAUAGUGUCCUUAGUUAACCCCCUUAUCAUUAACUUUGAUUGAUAAUAUCCCUUGAUAUAAAACAUGUAGAUGAACUUGGGUGAACAUGUAAUGUAUAUAGCAAUUAAAACAGCAUGGGUUUGGUAGGCCUCUUCUUCCCAAGGAAUGGGAUUGUUAAUUAUCUCCAAAGAUUUGGUAUUUUCUCCUUAGAAAAUGGGUAAUCGGUUCUGUUCUUCCAAAACGUUGAGUACAUGCUAUUAUCUUGCCCAACUGUUUGCUUACUGAUCUAAAAAAGUUGGGUUACAUGUUCCUGAUCUCCCCAAGGGUUGGGUACGUGUGCACCGCCAAUUAUAUUCUCCCUAAAUAGUGGGCGCAUGUGCUCCUAUACCAAGCAGUGGGGGUACGUGACACUGUUUUACCUGGGACCGGGGUAUGCCCCUAUUUUUCCCUGAUGCUGACAAUUUGGAAACAAAAUGACCACUUCUUGAUAAAAAGGGAACACAAAAAUCAAAGCAAAAAAAAAAGGACCCUUAAAUUUACCAAAAUGACACUAGUUUUAAGAGUAUUGGAAGCAGUGCAUAAUUACACACAGCUACUUUUAAGAUAAGAUAGCUAUGCCCAUGCGUAACAGCUUUGCAAUUAAAUUUAUUUUUGUUUACAACUCAUACAGAUAAUGAGAUCGACAUGCAGGCAAUGAAGGUGCUGACCGAGGCAGAUAAUUUGCAACUUAUUCCCAAAAUCAUCCAUCGACACUCAACGGGAUAUCAUAAUGCCACAAUACCUGAAGGAUAGACACAAAGCUUCAUCCCCAGCCCUUUGUGCUAUCAUAAGGCAGCGCUGAUCUGGAGUCAAGAAAUGCUUUUCCACAACCAUCAGUCAUGAAAGCAGUAGAUGUGUACUACAAGGCACACUAUGUGCUGGACUGCAAAAACCAAGUUCAGUGCCAGGGGUAUGGACUUUUUUUGACACGUGUGUGUUCAGCCAGCAAGGUGUGCAAUCGAGAGAAACCGCCACACUGAGAGGUCUAAGGGCUUAACUUGCACAUAAAAACGUGCUGUAAGUCACUGCAGUAAUGCUGAACCUAUCUAAAAGCAUAAAAGGCUACCUAACAAGUCAUAAUUAUUGUAGUCGGUGUAUGAGAGGGGUGGUAUGUGUAUAAGUUAGCAGCUUUAAAGGUUUCAUUAGUAAACAUCGUUUCACAACUAAGUUGUGCACGCUCAACGAUUAAUUUUUAUCAAAAUACAACAUUAAUGACAAAUUUCCAUACCGAUCAUAAAUACAAUUUCUAAUCCAAUCCUACGAAAUGAUUAUUACCUGUAAGAGUACCCCCCUUGCCCCCACAUUAUCUUUUACAAUAUUUGUAUACUAGAAUCCUCCUCAUCUAGCGGGGUGCCGCGCGAAGCGCGGCAUCCCGCUAGUACAAUUUAAAGGUGUAAGUCCCUGUUACAUCUGACUGAUCUAACUUGUCAUUCAAGUGUCAAAAAACUGACAACUCUUUUUUGUAUUUUGCUUAGAAAGUACUUUGCUUUACAAAAUAACUCUUUGUUUUGAAAGUCACUGCAGUAUCUGCUAUAAACCCAUUUAAAAUUAUAUAAGGCUACCUAACAAGUUGAUCCUUGGGCAGUCUUAUUAUAGUUGGUGUGUAAUAGAAGCAGAUUCUUAACUUUGGUAUGAAACAAUGCUAUGAUUAAACAUAUUACAUUUUGAAAGUGUACAUCCCUGUCUAACUUGUCAUUCAAGAGUCAUCAAAAUAAUUGACAGUUCUUUGUUGUAUUUGCUUAGAAAGUACUUUGCUUUACAAAAUACCUCUCAUUGUUUUGAAAGUCACUGCAGCAAUGUCUGCUGAACCCAUUUACAAGUAUAUAAGGCUACCUAACAAGUUGAUCCUUAGGCAGUAAUAUUGUAGUCGGAGAGUAAAAGAAGCAAAUUCAAAAAAAUCUGUUUUAGUUUGAAACAAACAGGCUUUUUCAGGUGAUUUUUUUUCUGGGGGGGGGGGGUGUUUAAGUCAGCAGCUUUAACGGUUUUAUGAGUAAUAUAUAGCCUAUGUAUGUAUUUAUUUGUGCAAAAACGUUGUUUCAUUGCUUGUUUGAUGUUCACAAAUAAAAAAGGAAAAGCAAAGAAGUACUUUCUGAAGUCUUUCAUUAAUGUUUGUGCUAAUUACUCAACUGUUGGAUGAAUAAUUUGGUUCAAUCUAGUCUCAACGACUGAGCUUUAGUAAUGGAUUUGUGCCCAACAGUUUACAAAAACGAACGGAAAUUUACCAACAAGUGGUCAUUAUCAUGAUACACGGUUGCCCAUCUAUUGCAUAGUCAUAUUCCAACUACUAAGCAGUUAUUCUAAAAGGUUGACCAAUAUAUGAGGAAACAUGGUUAUACAACGUUUGUGUAACUGUUACUACCCAAGUAUUUUUUGGGAGACUUAUUAUUACCUACCCUUGGACGUACUAAACAAACCAAAGGUUGGGCAGAAGUAAAUUCCCAACUUGUGUGGAGGUCGUUUGCUCAAUCAAUAAGCAAUGACAUUGACCAACGACCGUUGGGCUAUAAUUGUAGUAGUGAAUGUGAUGGGAUCAGCUAAUGCCUUUUUUCUUUUUUCUUGAGGUUUUCAGAUUCAGUUUUGUCGAACAUGACUUAAUUUCAGAGGGAAGUUUUUCACAGAAAAGAAUGUCUCUGGUAUGAAUUUCAUUGUCAAAA